GACGAACGCUGGCGGCGUGCCUAAUACAUGCAAGUUGAGCGCUGAAGGUUGGUACUUGUACCAACUGGAUGAGCAGCGAACGGGUGAGUAACGCGUGGGGAAUCUGCCUUUGAGCGGGGGACAACAUUUGGAAACGAAUGCUAAUACCGCAUAAAAACUUUAAACACAAGUUUUAAGUUUGAAAGAUGCAAUUGCAUCACUAAAAGAUGAUCCCGCGUUGUAUUAGCUAGUUGGUGAGGUAAAGGCUCACCAAGGCGAUGAUACAUAGCCGACCUGAGAGGGUGAUCGGCCACAUUGGGACUGAGACACGGCCCAAACUCCUACGGGAGGCAGCAGUAGGGAAUCUUCGGCAAUAGACGAAAGUCUGACCGAGCAACGCCGCGUGAGUGAAGAAGGUUGUCGGAUCGUAAAACUCUGUUGGUAGAGAAGAACGUUGGUGAGAGUGGAAAGCUCAUCAAGUGACGGUAACUACCCAGAAAGGGACGGCUAACUACGUG
rnacentral:rRNA from 1 species